GAUGAACGCUGGCGGCGUGCCUAAUACAUGCAAGUCGAGCGAAAAGAUGAGGAGCUUGCUCCUCUGAAGUUAGCGGCGGACGGGUGAGUAACACGUGGAUAACCUACCUAUAAGACUGGGAUAACUUCGGGAAACAGGAGCUAAUACCGGAUAAUAUAUUGAACCGCAUGGUUCAAUAGUGAAAGACGGUUUUGCUGUCACUUAUAGAUGGAUCCGCGCCGCAUUAGCUAGUUGGUAAGGUAACGGCUUACCAAGGCAACGAUGCGUAGCCGACCUGAGAGGGUGAUCGGCCACACUGGAACUGAGACACGGUCCAGACUCCUACGGGAGGCAGCAGUAGGGAAUCUUCCGCAAUGGGCGAAAGCCUGACGGAGCAACGCCGCGUGAGUGAUGAAGGUCUUCGGAUCGUAAAACUCUGUUAUUAGGGAAGAACAAAUGUGUAAGUAACUAUGCACGUCUUGACGGUACCUAAUCAGAAAGCCACGGCUAACUACGUG
rnacentral:rRNA from 1 species